GUGUCAGCCGCCGCGGUAAUACGUAGGUGGCGAGCGUUGUCCGGAUUUACUGGGCGUAAAGGAUGCGUAGGCGGAUUAUUAAGUCAGAUGUGAAAUUCCCGGGCUUAACCUGGGAGCUGCAUUUGAAACUGGUAGUCUGGAGUGCAGGAGAGGUAAGUGGAAUUCCUAGUGUAGCGGUGAAAUGCGUAGAGAUUAGGAAGAACACCAGUGGCGAAGGCGACUUACUGGACUGUAACUGACGCUGAGGCAUGAAAGCGUGGGGAGCAAACAGGAUUAGAUACCCUGGUAGUCCACGCUGUAAACGAUGAAUACUAGGUGUGGGAGGUAUCGACUCCUUCUGUGCCGCAGUUAACACAAUAAGUAUUCCGCCUGGGGAGUACGGUCGCAAGAUUAAAACUCAAAUGAAUUGACGG
rnacentral:rRNA from 1 species